ACCCUUUAUUAGUGCUAGAAAGGUUUUGAUGGAUAUGGGGCCACCAAUAAGCAAGGAAAUCCAACUCGUUUCCUUCCACACUGUGUCCAAAGGAUAUUGGGGUGAAUGUGGGCAGCGAGGUGGAUACUUUGAGAUGACCAACAUUCCUGCACAGACAGUGGAUGAGAUUUAUAAGGUUGCAUCCAUAUCUCUCAGUCCUAAUGUCCCUGCACAGAUAUUUAUGGGUUUGAUGGUCAACCCACCUAAACCUGGAGAUAUUUCAUAUGAACAGUUUAUUAGGGAGAGCAAAGGAAUCCUUGAAUCACUGAGGAGAAGAGCAAGGAUUAUGACAGAUGGAUUCAACAGCUGCAGAAAUGUGGUUUGCAAUUUCACAGAAGGUGCCAUGUAUUCAUUUCCUCAAAUACGGUUGCCACCUAAAGCAAUAGAGGCUGCCAAAAAGGCUGGAAAAGUUCCUGAUGUUUUCUACUGUCUCAAGCUUUUGGAAGCCACUGGCAUUUCCACUGUUCCUGGUUCGGGAUUUGGACAAAAAGAAGGGGUCUUUCACUUGAGAACAACCAUUUUACCAUCUGAGGAAGACAUGCCAGCAAUCAUGGCCAGUUUCAAGAAGUUCAAUGAUGAGUUCAUGGAAGAACAUGAAGACCAUAGGGGUUAUUCAAGAAUGUAAGCAAUGUUUCAAAAUCCAUAAAUUGUAUCAUAUUUCUCAGCUAUUUCACACCAUUUGAUAAAUUCUCCUUGAAUUAUAUCUAUUUGGCAUAAACUUACUUCUGUUGCAGAUUUCAUUCUGCUGCUUUUAUAAUCCC
rnacentral:misc_RNA from 1 species